CCAAAACCCUUUGUCGGUCCAUGAAAGCUCAUCACAUUCCUUUACUCUCUCGUGGGCUCUAAAAUUUCAAAAUCCAAAACCCAAAGAAAACCCAAAACCCGAAACCCGUGAAACCCCAAAUCCCAUGUUUGUCUCUUCUUUCAUUCACCCCUGCUUCCCUUUCACGUUGCUUCGCCGCUGCUUAGAGUUGCUGCUCGAUGAACGUCGCCGCACCACCCUCCUGCCUCGCUGGACGCGCGACCUGUUUCAGCAUUCUUUCCCCUCGCUCGCUCUUUCUCCGUUUCGUCUGAUGUGUCGCGUCUGUUCGCUGCCAAUCUCGAAACUCGUCACGAACCACCAGGCUGCUCGCGUUUCGCCACCGUUCUGCUCUCCCUCCUCUCAUGUUCGUGGUCGUUGUUGUUGGUGAUUCUGUUGCUAGGUUGUUGCUGCCCUGCUCUUCUCCUCCGAAAGUCUGUUGGUGCCGAGUAUGGGUGGAGCCACCCUAAGCCGACGUUAUGAGAGGAUGAUUUUGGAGUGAAGAAUCAUUUGGGAUUAUGAAGUUGAUUGUGUUGUUGGAACUGGAUUACAUUUCAGGUUUGGUGUUGUGAGCUCGGAAUUGGAAGUGAAGCAAGAUUAUGAUGUCGUCCUAGAUUAAGGAUUGAGUUUGUAUUUUAGAUAGUUUUGUUGAGAAUAAUUAUUUAUAUUUCGUUGUAUAUAAUAUUUGGAAAUAUUAGUCGAGUUAUUUGUGUAUUUAAGGAUAUUUUUCCGCUGCGAAGUAAUUUAUUAAAGAGUUAAUAUUAGUUUAUGGU